CUGCUUUUGGAGUGAGGGAGAUUUAAUUUCGCAGUUUUGUGCAUCCAUUGCCGACCAGUCCAAAGUUUCAAGAACAACCACCUGCUUUGCUCUCUGUGGUUCAAGGACUGGGGAUGGGCUUGUAUGAUCUGAGAAGCAAGAAAGGAGAGAAACAGAAGCUCACCUAGGAGACCCAUGUUUCUAAGUCGUUGUAUAAGCUCGGAGAGCAGACUAGGGAGGCUGCUAAGGGUUUUGAAGACUGGGUCAAACAGGAAAGAUAUCAGACCAAAGAGGUAGAAGUCCAAGCUUUUGUUUGGCAUGUACUCGUAGAUCAGCAUUUGUUCAUCCCUCUCAAUACAAAAUCCCAAAAGUCGAACAAGAUUUACAUGUUGCAGUUUUGCACUCAUGUCUCCUUCAGGUGUAAUGGCUGGACCUGUAGCCGGUGCACCAAUAGCAUUGUCUUCGGGAUUCUUUAGCGUCCACGCGUAGCCAUAGAAAGGCAAGCCCAAGACCAACUUUCCAGCGGACAAGCCCCUACCAAUCCAUGCACCAAUGCCAUAAUCCGUGCUAGCCUCGCUUGAUGGGUCAUAUAAGGCUGCAAGAGCACCUAUAAAGCUUGACCCCUGAGGCAUAUGGUAGUCAUAAGCCAUGACAUGAACCCAAUUCAAGUUAUCCCUUAUGGAUUCCACCGGGAAAGAAGCGUUAUCCACAUCCGGUGAGUAUUGAACAGCAGCAGUCAAGAUCAAUUCUGUCUGGCUAGAGUUUUUUGCCUCGGAAUUUGCAGCGGCAUGCCACUCCUUAAAGAGUAACCCCAUAUUGGUCAUGUCAGAGCUUGUGUUUGCUGAAACCCAACAAAGGUCUAGGCCUUGGAAGCCGUAAAGCCUUGCCAUCUUUAUUGAAGAGUCAAUGAAAGAUUUUCUAUAGGAAGCCUUGCUGACCAUCAUUGAAAGGACUGCAUAGUCUGCGCUUCCACCGCCAAUAGAAAGGAGGGUGGUGAUUGAUGGGUUCUUUUGUUUAACAGUGUUCUUGAAGGUAGAGAAGGAGGAUGAGGCAGAGAGCUCGUAUGACGAAGAGUUUAGACCAGCAAAAGCGCAAAUAAGGUGACUAAAGAGGGCUGAGUUUAUGUCUGAAAUCGGGAACUCGCUGCCGGAGUACCAGUAACCUGCUUUGAUCCAAGUUUGUGCAGUUGAAGGCUUCAAGUGUAAAGAAAGAAAGAUAUGGAAAAGAAGAAUGAUAAUUUUGGACAUCAUGGAGCAAAUUAAGCUAUACUUCGAUUCUGAAGUAAGCAACAGCUUGCCAUGGAAGUGGUGGAGAGGAGGUGGAUUAAUUUUCUAAGGAUCUCGUAUAUUCUGAGGCGGUUGAAGAGAGGAGAGGUAAUAUUAAUUGGCCGGUGUGUAAUUAGCUUUUUGUCUAACAAAGUACGAACGAAAAGAUAAACAUGGCCAACGUUUUCAACCAAUUACGAAAUCGAAGAGAACUGAAAACAGGGCCAAAAUUUUACCAAAAUACUUUACUUCCAAAACAAAUUUCAAUGUCUUAA